rnacentral:rRNA from 1 species
UACGGAGGAUCCGAGCGUUAUCCGGAUUUAUUGGGUUUAAAGGGUGCGCAGGCGGGAGAUUAAGUCGGCGGUGAAAUUUUGCAGCUCAACUGUAAAAGUGCCUUCGAAACUGGUUUCCUUGAGUGUAGAUGAAGUAGGCGGAAUUUGUGGUGUAGCGGUGAAAUGCAUAGAUAUCACGAGGAACUCCGACUGCGCAGGCAGCUUACUAAACUACUACUGACGCUCAGGCACGAAGGAGUGGGGAUCAAACAGGAUUAGAUACCCGUGUAGU